rnacentral:rRNA from 1 species
GACGAACCACACUAACGUUAUUCGGAAUUACUGGGCUUAAAGGGUGCGUAGGCGGCGCGGAAAGUUGGGUGUGAAAUCCCUUGGCUCAACCGAGGAAUUGCGCCCAAAACUACCGUGCUCGAGGGAGAUAGAGGUGAGCGGAACUUAGGGUGGAGCGGUGAAAUGCGUUGAUAUCCUAAGGAACACCGGUGGCGAAGGCGGCUCACUGGAUCUCUUCUGACUCUGAGGCACGAAAGCUAGGGUAGCGAACGGG